rnacentral:rRNA from 1 species
AUUGAACGCUGGCGGCAGGCUUAACACAUGCAAGUCGAACGAUGAAACUCUAGCUUGCUAGAGAAGAUUAGUGGCGGACGGGUGAGUAACAUUUAGGAAUCUGCCUAGUAGUGGGGGAUAGCUCGGGGAAACUCGAAUUAAUACCGCAUACGACCUACGGGUGAAAGGGGGCGCAAGCUCUUGCUAUUAGAUGAGCCUAAAUCAGAUUAGCUAGUUGGUGGGGUAAAGGCCCACCAAGGCGACGAUCUGUAACUGGUCUGAGAGGAUGAUCAGUCACACCGGAACUGAGACACGGUCCGGACUCCUACGGAGGCAGCAGUGGGGAAUAUUGGACAAUGGGGGCAACCCUGAUCCAGCCAUGCCGCGUGUGUGAAGAAGGCCUUUUGGUUGUAAAGCACUUUAAGCAGGGAGGAGAGGCUAAUGGUUAACACCCAUUAGAUUAGACGUUACCUGCAGAAUAAGCACCGGCUAACUCU